GAUGAACGCUAGCUACAGGCUUAACACAUGCAAGUCGAGGGGCAGCAUGGUCUUAGCUUGCUAAGGCCGAUGGCGACCGGCGCACGGGUGAGUAACACGUAUCCAACCUGCCGUCUACUCUUGGACAGCCUUCUGAAAGGAAGAUUAAUACAAGGUGGCAUCAUGAGUCCGCAUGUUCACAUGAUUAAAGGUAUUCCGGUAGACGAUGGGGAUGCGUUCCAUUAGAUAGUAGGCGGGGUAACGGCCCACCUAGUCUUCGAUGGAUAGGGGUUCUGAGAGGAAGGUCCCCCACAUUGGAACUGAGGCACGGUCCAAACUCCUACGGGAGGCAGCAGUGAGGAAUAUUGGUCAAUGGGCGAGAGCCUGAACCAGCCAAGUAGCGUGAAGGAUGACUGCCCUAUGGGUUGUAAACUUCUUUUAUAAAGGAAUAAAGUCGGGUAUGGAUACCCGUUUGCAUGUACUUUAUGAAUAAGGAUCGGCUAACUCCGUG
rnacentral:rRNA from 1 species